UCCAUUUUACCAGCUAGGUACCAUGAAUGCAUUGCAAGGCUGCCAAAGGACAUGAUAUUGGCAAGGGAUGAUAGUCCAUGAAUCAUACCGAAUUUUUUGUUCAUGGCUGCAAGCUUUGGAUUCACCUUGGCAACCUCCUUGUUCUUUGACCGCCCAAUUUCCUCACCAAUGUUUUGCUCUCUCUCCACCUUGUGCCUCUGCUUCAUCAUCUGUCCAAAAAGGGGCCCCAAAAAAUUAUACAUCAGCAACAAAAUCAUUUUAGCACCAGCACAUAGC
rnacentral:lncRNA from 1 species